rnacentral:misc_RNA from 1 species
GGGGAUUAUAGAGGGAAAGUUAAGAAAGUAAAGGGUAGGGGGCCCUAGUAAACGAGGGCGUGCACUCCUUUUAUUUCGACUCCACCAAUACUUUGUUUCAACAAAGCCAUAUUUCCACUUCUUCUCAGGUGAGAGAGUUGUUACCUUCUUUUAAUAAUAAGAGUAGACUAAUCAUUCUUCUCCACUUUUAAAGACAAUCUUACCAUUGCA